rnacentral:lncRNA from 1 species
UUCAUUCCAUUAAUUCAAGGUUCAAGAAACACAAAAUUAGACCAGUUUUGCUUCCAUUUCAAAAGUCAAUAAUAAAUUAUAUACGUGAUCAAUUAGCUAAAGGAAGCUUUACACACAUUCAAUGGUAAAUUUUUAUGAAGAAAAUAAACAUUUACUCUACCCAACCAUUGAAGAUCAUCAUACUCAAAUAACUAGUCUCGUGAUCCAUUCCUUUCACCCAACAUUCGAAGUAUGGUUUGUUCAAAUUCAAUGCACUUUUUCUCUUCUUCUCGCCUAACAUCUUCCAUUUUUUGAAGUAAUCCAUCAUUUUCCCUUGUAAGUUCAUUUAUCUUCUCACAAGUGAAGCGAAAUUCCUCUUUUAAAGUGAUAAAAUCAGCGUGUCCAUGGAAAACUAGGUGAACCCGAUGAGGUGCCUUCUUUGUGCAAAGAUUUUUCAUUGAAUACCAAGCUCCUACAAGCAACCACCUUUACGAGGACCUUGAGUUGCCUCACACCAUGCUUCAUGUCAAUUUCAAGCUAUGACACAUUUGAACCAUAUUUUUCAUGAAUGGUAUUGUCAUAUUUUACCUGUAAAGCAAGAAGUAGCUCAACUUUAUAAAGGAAAAAGGCGUGAAUUAUUGUAUAUUAGAAGUGAAACGAGUAACAUUGCGUACCAUAGUAGCUAACGCUACUGUCCUUGCCAAUGGCCAAAAUGCAGGCAGUCCAAAACCAUAAAAAUUGGAGGGUCAUUCAAGUCAAAACCACAAAAGCAUCUUUUGUGCAGCACCAAUCAAUUCUAAAUAGACGCUAAUUUACAUCAAAUAUCAAUGCCAAGCAAUCAAAAUGUAUUAAAUAAUGCUGUCAACAAAUCAUCCAAAUUUCUUUAGACCCAAGAUCAGAAUGGAUUAAAAUCCUUUUAGUGCUACAACAAUAUAUAACUUCAGUUAACUGAAAGAUACAAUAUAAAGCUCUUUAUUACACAUAUAUUAGACCCUAAGAAAACCAACAAUAUAUAGAAACAUGAUAGAACAAAUGACGUGGUGACACUCUUACUUCUAAGAAGUUUCGGAGUAACUUAAUGUACAUGAGUAAAUAAUGAGUUCAUGAAAACUCCAAGAAGGUAAUCAUGUUGGGAAUUUACUUAAACAUGCACAGCGGAAAAUAAAACAAAUUUCAAUUCCCACCACGGAUCUCUCUUGUGUUUAGAUAGAAACUAUGACAGAAACUGUACAUUUCUUUAAUUCUGCAAAACACCUUUGCUAUUAUUCUAUUCUACCAUUCUUAAUCUGCCAACCAUAGCUAUCUAAUUCUCUAGCCUCCAAUGGAAAUCCAUAUAGCGAACAAGAUUGAGAGAGAACUAGGGUUUACCUUUUUUGCGCUAGCAAGAACAAUGAAAAUUCUCUAUAAAU